rnacentral:rRNA from 1 species
GGGGUGCGGACAGUGUCUGGUGGGUAGUUUGACUGGGGCGGUCUCCUCCCAAAGAGUAACGGAGGAGCACGAAGGUUGGCUAAGCAUGGUCGGACAUCAUGCGGUUAGUGCAAAGGCAUAAGCCAGCUUGACUGCGAGAGUGACGGCUCGAGCAGGUACGAAAGUAGGUCUUAGUGAUCCGGUGGUUCUGAAUGGAAGGGCCAUCGCUCAACGGAUAAAAGGUACUCCGGGGAUAACAGGCUGAUACCGCCCAAGAGUUCAUAUCGACGGCGGUGUUUGGCACCUCGAUGUCGGCUCAUCACAUCCUGGGGCUGAAGUAGGUCCCAAGGGUACGGCUGUUCGCCGUUUAAAGUGGUACGCGAGCUGGGUUUAGAACGUCGUGAGACAGUUCGGUCCCUAUCUGCCGUGGGCGUUGGAAGAUUGAAAGGGGCUGCUCCUAGUACGAGAGGACCGGAGUGGACGCACCACUGGUGUUCGGGUUGUCAUGCCAAUGGCAUUGCCCGGUAGCUAAGUGCGGAAGAGAUAACCGCUGAAAGCAUCUAAGCGGGAAACUUGCCUUGAGAUGAGUCUUCCCUGAC